GACGAACGCUGGCGGCGUGCCUAAUACAUGCAAGUAGGACGCACAGUUUAUACCGUAGCUUGCUACACCAUAGACUGUGAGUUGCGAACGGGUGAGUAACGCGUAGGUAACCUGCCUAUUAGAGGGGGAUAACUAUUGGAAACGAUAGCUAAUACCGCAUAACAGUAUGUAACACAUGUUAGAUGCUUGAAAGAUGCAAUUGCAUCGCUAGUAGAUGGACCUGCGUUGUAUUAGCUAGUAGGUAGGGUAAUGGCCUACCUAGGCGACGAUACAUAGCCGACCUGAGAGGGUGAUCGGCCACACUGGGACUGAGACACGGCCCAGACUCCUACGGGAGGCAGCAGUAGGGAAUCUUCGGCAAUGGGGGGAACCCUGACCGAGCAACGCCGCGUGAGUGAAGAAGGUUUUCGGAUCGUAAAGCUCUGUUGUUAAGGAAGAACGAGUGUGAAAAUGGAAAGUUCAUACUGUGACGGUACUUAACCAGAAAGGGACGGCUAACUACGUGCCAGCAGCCGCGGUAAUACGUAGGUCCCGAGCGUUGUCCGGAUUUAUUGGGCGUAAAGCGAGCGCAGGCGGUUAGAAAAGUCUGAAGUGAAAGGCAGUGGCUCAACCAUUGUAGGCUUUGGAAACUGUUUAACUUGAGUGCAGAAGGGGAGAGUGGAAUUCCAUGUGUAGCGGUGAAAUGCGUAGAUAUAUGGAGGAACACCGGUGGCGAAAGCGGCUCUCUGGUCUGUAACUGACGCUGAGGCUCGAAAGCGUGGGGAGCGAACAGGAUUAGAUACCCUGGGUAGUCCAAGGGCGAAUUCCACAGUGGAUAUCAAGCUUAUCGAUACCGUCGACCUCGAGGGGGGGGCCCGGUACCCAGCUUUUGUUCCUUUAGUGAGGGGGUUA
rnacentral:rRNA from 1 species